rnacentral:lncRNA from 1 species
UAACGUGACGGUACCCAAAUUGCACCUAUUUUGACAGUUUUUUCAACUACGUUUUUUAUGCCCCACCUACGAUAGUAGAGGGGCAUUAUGUUUUCUGGUCUGUGCGUCCGUUCGUUCGUUCGUCCGUCCGUCUGUUCGUUCGUUCGUUCGUCUGUUCGUUCGUCCGUCUGUCCCGCUUCAGGUUAAAGUUUUUGGUCAAGGUAGUUUUUGAUGAAGUUGAAGUCCAAUCAACUUGAAACUUAGUACACAUGUUCCUUAUGAUAUGAUCUUUCUAAUUUUAAAGCCAAAUUAAACUUUUGACCCCAAUUUCAUGGUCGACUUAACAUAGAAAAUGAAAGUGCAUGUUUCAGGUUAAAGUUUUUGGUCAAGGUAGUUUUUGAUGAAGUUGAAGUCCAAUCAACUUGAAACUUAGUACAAAUGUUCCCUAUGAUAUUAUCUUUCUAAUUUUAAUGCCUAAUUAUAUUUUUUAUCCAAUUUCACGGUCCAUUGAACAUGGAAAAUGAUAGUGGGAGUGGGGCAUCCGUGUACUUUGGACACAUUCUUGUUUAUGAUUAAGACAAAAGUUUCCAUUUUGUGUUUAUUUUGUAGCCGUAUCCUUCUUUAUUAUAUAGGUACACCAAUUUGAUUUUCAAUUCAUAUGGAAUCAUAGAAAAAUUGGUCUGAACUAACCUCCAAGCUAUCAAUGAUUCUGUAAUGAGGAGUACCCAAAUUGCAUCCAUGCUUAAAUUCGCAUCGUCAAAAGUCGAAUAACAGAGCUUUUGUUUAUUUUUAUGCCCCACCUACGAUAGUAGAGGGGCAUUAUGUUUUCUGGUCUGUGCGUCCGUUCGUCCGUUCGUUCGUCCGUUCGUUCGUCCGUUCGUUCGUCCGUUCGUCCGUCUGUCCCGCUUCAGGUUAAAGUUUUUGGUCAAGGUAGUUUUUGAUGAAGUUGAAGUCCAAUCAACUUGAAACUUAGUAUACAUGUGCCCUAUGAUAUGAUCUUUCUAAUUUAAAUGCCAAAUUAGAGUUUUGACCCCAAUUUUACGGUUCACUGAACAUAGAAAAUGAUAGUGCAAAUUUCAGGUUAAAGUUUUUGGCUUCAGGUUAAAGUUUUUGGUCAAGGUAGUUUUUGAUGAAGUUGAAGUCCAAUCAACUUGAAACUUAGUAUACAUGUGCCCUAUGAUAUGAUCUUUCUAAUUUAAAUGCCAAAUUAGAGUUUUGACCCCAAUUUUACGGUUCACUGAACAUAGAAAAUGAUAGUGCAAAUUUCAGGUUAAAGUUUUUGGUCAAGGUAGUUUUUGAUGAAGUUGAAGUCCAAUCAACUUGAAACUUAGUAUACAUGUGCCCUAUGAUAUGAUCUUUCUAAUUUAAAUGCCAAAUUAGAGUUUUUACCCCAAUUUUACGGUUCACUGAACAUAGAAAAUGAUAGUGCAAAUUUCAGGUUAAAGUUUUUGGCUUCAGGUUAAAGUUUUUGGUCAAGGUAGUUUUUGAUGAAGUUGAAGUCCAAUCAACUUGAAACUUAGUAUACAUGUGCCCUAUGAUAUGAUCUUUCUAAUUUAAAUGCCAAAUUAGAGUUUUGACCCCAAUUUUACGGUUCACUGAACAUAGAAAAUGAUAGUGCAAAUUUCAGGUUAAAGUUUUUGGUCAAGGUAGUUUUUGAUAAAGUAGAAGUCCAAUCAACUUGAAACUUAGUAUACAUGUUCCCUUUGAUAAGAUCAUUCUAAUUUUAAUGCCAAAUUAGAGAAUUUAUUCCAAUUUCACAGUCCUUUAAACAUAGAAAAUGAUAGUGUGAGUGGGGCAUCCGUGUACUGUGGACACAUUCUUGUUUUCAAAUAU